ACCAUCCUGUCUCCCUUCACUCUGUUCAGUCACAUGAUCAUUUGAGUUCAGUUUGCUGUCUCUCUGUUGCUCCACUUCCUGCUCUCCUGUGUCUACACCUCAGUCACUUCCUGUUCCCGCCUACUGUGUUGUCCUCACUGGUGAUUUCCCAAACUCCUCCACCUGUGCCUUGUUAACUCUGUGUAUCCACACCUGCUACUUCCUUGCCUCUCCUGCCAGUUUGGCUCUUCUACAGGUGAAUGAACCAGUGUUAAACUUCUAGAUUUUUGCCUUUGUGUUUUUAGUUCUGGACAGUUUUUCUGACCCUGAGUCUGACAGUUUGGUGGUUUUUUUCCUGCCCCACUGGACUCUUUCCAAGUUUCUGUUUUGUCUGCAUUCAUUGAUUAUUCAUUCAAGAUCAUUUAAACGAGCCGUGGUGGCGUUGAUUUCAGCCUGCAUGGAGAGCCGCAAGGCCUCAUGGUCCUCCUUGGAGAUCAGACCCUGCUCUGCCGCCUUCUGAGACUUCAGUUCUCUCAGCUCCAGCUCCUUGUCGCACCACUUUACAAUCACGCCCAGCUGUCCCCUUGAUCAGCGUCCUCCAGUUACGGUCUUAUUACAGGCUAUUACAGCUGCGAUCCAGAGAAGGGCUGCACGGCCACAAAACUACAGAGGUUCUGCCUUCUCGUCAGAUCACUCAGAUGGUUCUGACAUCCUCUCUGCUGUUUCAGUUACCAUUUUCUUUUAGCAAA